UACGUAGGGUGCAAGCGUUGUCCGGAAUUAUUGGGCGUAAAGAGCCCGCAGGCGGCUCGGCAAGUUUCAGGUGAAAUCUCCCGGCUUAACCGGGAGGGUGCCUGGAAAACUGCCGGGCUUGAAGCAGGGAGAGGGAUGCGGAAUUCCCGGUGUAGUGGUGAAAUGCGUAGAUAUCGGGAGGAACACCAGUGGCGAAGGCGGCAUCCUGGCCCUGUCCUGACGCUCAGGGGCGAAAGCGUGGGGAGCAAACCGG
rnacentral:rRNA from 1 species